rnacentral:rRNA from 1 species
GACGAACGCUGGCGGCGUGCUUAACACAUGCAAGUCGAACGGAAAGGCCCUGCUUUUGUGGGGUGCUCGAGUGGCGAACGGGUGAGUAACACGUGAGUAACCUGCCCUUGACUUUGGGAUAACUUCAGGAAACUGGGGCUAAUACCGGAUAGGAGCUCCUGCUGCAUGGUGGGGGUUGGAAAGUUUCGGCGGUUGGGGAUGGACUCGCGGCUUAUCAGCUUGUUGGUGGGGUAGUGGCUUACCAAGGCUUUGACGGGUAGCCGGCCUGAGAGGGUGACCGGCCCCAUGGGGACUGGGAAACGGCCCAGACCCCACCGGGGGGCAGCAGGGGGGAAUAUUGCACAAUGGGCGGAAGCCGGAUGCAGCACCGCCGGGUGGGGGAUGACGGCCUUGGGGUUGUAAACCGCUUUCGCCUGUGACGAAGCGUGAGUGACGGUAAUGGGUAAAGAAGCCCCGGCUACCUACGU